rnacentral:rRNA from 1 species
UACGAAGGGGGCUAGCGUUGUUCGGAAUCACUGGGCGUAAAGCGCACGUAGGCGGAUUUGUCAGUCAGGGGUGAAAUCCCGGGGCUCAACCUCGGAACUGCCUUUGAUACAGCACGUCUCGAGUCCGGAAGAGGUGGGUGGAAUUCCUAGUGUAGAGGUGAAAUUCGUAGAUAUUAGGAAGAACACCGGUGGCGAAGGCGGCCCACUGGUCCGGUACUGACGCUGAGGUGCGAAAGCGUGGGGAGCAAACAGG